rnacentral:lncRNA from 1 species
GAGAAACACAAACAAUUACAAAAUGAAGUUGAAAAAGACCUAUUUCAAUGGAAAGAUACAUCAUGUUUGUGAGUUGGAAUACUCAAUAUUGUUAAGAUGUAAGUCCUCUUCAAGUUGACCUAUCCAUUUGGUAUAAUUCCAAUUAAAAUUUUAACAUGCUUUGUGAAAAGAUUUUGAAAAUCUGAUCUUAAAUUUAUACAAAAAGGCAAAGGACCCAGAAUAUCCAAAACAAUUUUGAAAAAGAACAAAGGUGAAGGCCUUAAACUAUUUGAUUUCAAGAUACUAUAAAACUACAGUUAUCAAGAUAGUGUGAAAUUGUCAUGUAGAUCGAGAGAACAGAAUACAGAGCCCAGAAAUAAACACACACUAACAAAGUGUUAAAAGCAAAACUUUAGCUGAAUUAAAUUGAAUUGAAUUGAGCAAAGAAUGAUUCGUGAAUUGAAGAGCCUCCUGAGCCACAGUAGGCUCAAAGGCACCAGCAUAGCCACAUGGUGGAAGAAGAUUUAUGGACAGACAAAGAAAAGUGACAGAAAAUGGAAGUGAGGGACAGAAACAGCUGGACUGGUUACAGCUCAGCGUUUGCCUUAUUUGGACAUGGUUUGAACAGUUGGCUGCCUUUGAUUGGUUAAAACUCAGUGAUUGGCACAUUACUAGGCACACAACUCUACUUAGGUUUUAGUUGACGAUGUACAGAGAAACCCUUAGGCCGAACUUAAAAUAUGUAAGGAGGUAGCUUUAGAUUAAACUUAACAAUUCCCCUCUUUUGAUCAUCCUCUCAAUUUUGAGAGAUUGACCAAAACUUUGUCAUUGCUGUUACUAUCACCAUCAUAAACGUACUUAGUUAGUCUUGGAACCCACUGGGAAACAGCAAAACAGUGGGUUUUGUAAGUUGGGAACAAGGACUUCAGGUUACUUUUUUGUAAAGGUUAGAGUAGAGGGUACAUCCUGGAAUGUCCUGUUCACAGGAAAAAGAUAAAAUCAGGUCUUUUCUAGGAUCUAUGUGUUUCAUGAAAGUCUUAGUUUGAUUAUAUCACAUUUAGCAUGAGUAACUCCAUUUUGGUUUGUUCUGGUCUAUUGGGGCUUAGUGCAGGAGCUCAGUCCAAAACAAUGGCCUCCCAUAAUUUUCUUUUAAAAUUCUCCCCUUUUGGUCACGUUCUCACUUAGGUGAGAGUGUGACCAAAACGUAGGGCCUUACUGCCACUCUCAUUUACCAUCAUUUUGGGCUUCUGGUCUCAGCACGUCAUUCAUAGGUUAUGGUGCCCUCAUGGCCACACAUUUCUUUCAGCUCUUGUCAUUCCACCUGAAGAGAGACCAUUUGACAUUCUAGAGAUGGCUGCAUGCAGACAUUUAAAACUUUUAAGAGAAGACAGCACACCAGGGAAACGAUGAUUAUGAAUAUCAGAAAGAUAAUACCAAGAGUUUGGAGUAUGCUCCUUAGCCAAGGUCCCCAUAAACCAAACAAGCUAAAACCAAAUAGAUCAAAGGAUC